rnacentral:rRNA from 1 species
GAUCAUGGCUCAGGAUGAACGCUAGCGGCGUGCCUAAUACAUGCAAGUAGAACGCUGAAGCUUGGUGCUUGCACCGAGCGGAUGAGUUGCGAACGGGUGAGUAACGCGUAGGUAACCUGCCUCUUAGCAGGGGAUAACUAUUGGAAACGAUAGCUAAUACCGCAUAAAAGUCGACAUUGCAUGAUGUUGACUUGAAAGGUGCAAUUGCAUCACUAAGAGA